CUUGGUCAUUUAGAGGAAGUAAAAGUCGUAACAAGGUUUCCGUAGGUGAACCUGCGGAAGGAUCAUUAUCGAGUUAGGGUCGUUCUGGCCCGAACUUCCAACCCCUUGUUUAUCACACCAUGUUGCUUUGGUGGGCCCGCUCGCUUUUGUGGGCCGCUGGAGGUUAUUGCCUCUGGCCCGUGCCUGCCAGCAGCCUUAUUAAAAUUCUUUUUUAACUGUGUCGUCUGAGUAACUUUUUAAAUUAUUAAAAACUUUCAACAACGGAUCUCUUGGUUCUGGCAUCGAUGAAGAACGCAGCGAAAUGCGAUAAGUAAUGCGAAUUGCAGAAUUCAGUGAGUCAUCGAAUCUUUGAACGCAUAUUGCGCCCUUUGGUAUUCCGAAGGGCAUGCCUAUUCGAGCGUCAUUAUCAACCAUCAAGCUUGGCUUGUUGUUGGACUUAUUGGCUUGGGGACACCCUGACCGGUCCGAAAGAUAAUGAACGGGUGCUCAGCGGCCUUGGAUGCAACGAGCUUUCUAAGCACGCAUUGAACGGUCGUGAGACCUGGUCUUCUCUAUUAAUUUUUUCUAUGGUUGACCUCGGAUCAGGUAGGAAUACCCGCUGAACUUAAGCAUAUCAAUAAGCGGAGGA
rnacentral:rRNA from 1 species